GUUAAUGUAGCUUAUUACUAAAAGCAAGACACUGAAAAUGUCUAGAUGGGUACUAUCACCCCAUAAACA
rnacentral:tRNA from 1 species